rnacentral:rRNA from 1 species
AUGAUAGUCGAGUGGGACUAUCUAGAAGCUGUUAUGAGGAAGAUGGGGUUUAACCAGAUAUGGGUAAAGAAAAUUAUGCAGUGUGUGACCACUGUUUCCUUUAAUGUGUUGCUGAACGGAAGUAAGUUGGAUGAAUUUCGACCUUCAAGGGGGAUCAGACAGGGGGACCCCAUCUCACCCUAUCUGUUUUUAUUGGCGGCGGAGGGGCUGUCAUGUUUGCUCAAGGCCUAUAGCUCACACGAACAAGUCCGAGGAGUGGUUGUUGCUCCGGGUGCCCCCCCGGUCAACCAUCUUCUCUUCACAGACGACUGCUUACUGAUGUUCAAGGCAGAGGAGAAUGGAGCUACCAUGAUCAGUGAAUUAAUUGAGAAAUAUUGUGGAGCCUCAGGACAACGUGUCAAUCUUAACAAGUCUAGUGUUUUUUUCAGCAAGGGCUGCCCAAAUGUUAAGCGAGCAUUGAUCAAAGAUAUUCUGAACGUUCCAAACGAAUCACUUUCUGAGCGCUACUUGGGACUCCCCUCUGAUGUAGGUAAAUCCAAGAAUGGAACUUUCAAAUAUAUUAAGGACAGGUUAUGGGGGAAGGUUAAAGGCUGGAUCGAAAGAUGUAUGGCUAUGGCUGGUAAGGAAAUCUUGAUAAAAUCUGUGGCGCAAGCUGUCCCGACGUUUUCUAUGUCUUGUUUUUUGUUGCCUCGUGGUCUUUGCCAGCAGAUCGACUUGAUGCUCAGGAAGUUCUUCUGGGGUAGCAAAAACGGAGAGAGCAAAGCAAGGCUGGAGGCUUCUCCAAGAACCAAAUUCUUUUAG